UCCUUUGGGGUGAGGUAGUAGGUUGUAUAGUUUUAGGGUUAUCCCCUGCCUGUCAGAUAACUAUACAAUCUACUGUCUUUCCUGAAGUGGCU
rnacentral:pre_miRNA from 1 species